rnacentral:rRNA from 1 species
GGAAUUACUGGGCGUAAAGCGUGCGUAGGCGGUUUAUUAAGUCAGAUGUGAAAGCCCCGGGCUUAACCUGGGAACUGCAUUUGAAACUGGUCAACUAGAGUAUGGUAGAGGAAAGUGGAAUUUCUGGUGUAGCGGUGAAAUGCGUAGAUAUCAGAAGGAACAUCAAUGGCGAAGGCAGCUUUCUGGACCAAUACUGACGCUGAGGUACGAAAGCGUGGGUAGCAAACAGGAUUAGAUACCCUGGUAGUCCACGCCGUAAACGAUGAUAACUAGCCGUUGGGGGGAUUUACCCUUUAGUGGCGAAGCUAACGCGUUAAGUUAUCCGCCUGGGGAGUACGGCCGCAAGGUUAAAACUCAAAGGAAUUGACGGGGACCCGCACAAGCGGUGGAGCAUGUGGUUUAAUUCGAUGCAACGCGAAGAACCUUACCUGGUCUUGACAUCCUGCGAACUUUCUAGAAAUAGAUUGGUGCCUUCGGGAACGCAGUGACAGGUGCUGCAUGGCUGUCGUCAGCUCGUGUCGUGAGAUGUUGGGUUAAGUCCCGUAACGAGCGCAACCCCUAUCCUUAUUUGCCAGCACAUCAUGGUGGGAACUAUAAGGAGACUGCCGGUGAUAAACCGGAGGAAGGCGGGGACGACGUCAAGUCAUCAUGGCCCUUACGACCAGGGCUACACACGUGCUACAAUGGGAAGGACAAAGAGCCGCGAAGCCGCGAGGUGUAGCUAAUCUCAGAAACCUUUUCGUAGUCCGGAUUGGAGUCUGCAACUCGACUCCAUGAAGUCGGAAUCGCUAGUAAUCGUAGAUCAGAAUGCUACGGUGAAUACGUUCCCGGGUCUUGUACACACCGCCCGUCAUACCAUGGGAGUGGGUUGCACCAGAAGUGGCUAGUCUAACUUAGUGAGGA